rnacentral:rRNA from 1 species
CGGAGGGUGCGAGCGUUGUCCGGAAUCACUGGGCGUAAAGGGCGCGUAGGCGGCUUUUAAGGGUGCGGUGAAAGCCCGGGCUUAACUCCGGGUCGGCCGUGCCGACUGAAAAGCUGGAGCACUGUAGAGGCAGGUGGAAUUCCGGGUGUAGCGGUGGAAUGCGUAGAGAUCCGGAAGAACACCAGUGGCGAAGGCGGCCUGCUGGGCAGUUGCUGACGCUGAUGCGCGACAGCGUGGGGAGCAAACAGGAUUAGAUACCCUGGUAGUCCACGCCGUAAACGAUGGGCACUAGGUGCCUGGGGGAGCGACCCCCUGGGUGCCGGCGCUAACGCAUGAAGUGCCCCGCCUGGGGAGUACGGCCGCAAGGCUG